GACGAACGCUGGCGGCGUGCUUAACACAUGCAAGUCGAGCGGUAAGGCCCUUUCGGGGUACGACGAGCGGCGAACGGGUGAGUAACACGUGGGUGACCUGCCCUCAGCUCUGGGAUAAGCCUGGGAAACCGGGUCUAAUACCGGAUAUGACUCCAUGACGCAUGUUGUGGGGUGGAAAGCCUUGUGCGGCUGAGGAUGGGCCCGCGCCUAUCAGCUUGUUGGUGGGGUGAUGGCCUACCAAGGCGACGACGGGUAGCUGGUCUGAGAGGACGAUCAGCCACACUGGCACUGCGACACGGGCCAGACUCCUACGGGAGGCAGCAGUAAGGAAUAUUGCGCAAUGGGCGAAAGCCU
rnacentral:rRNA from 1 species